ensembl:lncRNA
CAAGACUAAGUGCUGACGCUGGAGGAGUGCGCAGAGCUCUCUGCUCAUACCUGCCUGCAAACAAGGGAAGGAGCAGCCCAGAGCCCUUGUGAAGUCCUCAGGGAAGCCCUCUGACCUGCUGGUGGUCAUGGACAGCUGCAGAACAUGUUACAUGCCUGCACCCGUGUGUCCUAUGGUAGCCAGAAGUUGUUGCAUGAGAGGAGAAAUGCAGCCCAUCACUGCUUAAACUCAUGCUGGUGAACCAGAAGUCCAUAGACAAACAUCCUUAAGAGCCCCAAGAGACUUGCUGGUUUCUCACACUUUGAAGAAUAAGAUGAAUUGCUGGCUUACCUGAGGAAGCUCAGAGGAAGACUAUCUCCAGAAAACAGCAAUAAAAUACCAGAUAGAAAAUGUAGUUGCCUUUCUCUUUUUAUUUUUUGGCAUUGUGAGUAAAGCUCUUUCCUCUUUGCUUCAAAGAGCUGAAGAGUAAAGUAGUGUUUGAUUUGAUUCUUCUGCUCCUCUUUUCUAAAUCAGAAUGACACCUGUGUUGCCUUCCAUACCAACAGUCAAUUUAUCAUUAAAUACGUCAACUGCCGAAUACAAUUCAAAUAUUGGUUGAAGAAAACAAAAGCUCUUUAAAGAGAAACUGGAUUUUCAAAGGUAACUGCUGUAAGGCUGCAUUCCUUCUAAGGGUAGAAUCUAAGCUGCUGCUGACACAUCAGAUUAGAAAAAUAAUCAGCUGCAUCUUCAAAGAACAUUCUCGUCUUCUGCAUUUAAUUCUUUUGGGCCUACAUGUAAAUAAAGUGCUUAAUUCUUUAAAUCCAGAUGACCAGCUGAGUUUUACUUCUUUCACUUCUUUCACUUUUAAAGUCUCAAAAGCAAGGAGACCAUGGCUUUGUUUCAUACCUUGCUAUAGGACAAGAACUUCCACAGUUGAGACCUUAGACAUAGGACCUCCUCCUAGACAUUCUAUUGAAGACCUGAACAAUGAUCUGACCUCACUUAACGGCUCCGUGUCACCUUCUCUCCCCUCUUCUUCUCAUAUUCUCCCCACAUACUUAUACUGCCAAGCUCUAUUUGCCUUUUACUGAGUGCAUUCUCCUCAAAUUUCCUUAAUGCAGCGCACGGCGCGUGCUCACAUACUCACCUUGUGCCUUUGACUUUAGCCAGGAAAUGUGCCCUGCCCUUCUCUCCAAGGUUCUUGCCUCCACAGCAGAGGUUCCUCAGCUGCUCAGGAACCGAUGCUGAGCUGCCAUGAAUUAGAG